ensembl:lncRNA
CAGCUUUCCAUAAAUGGAUCUUUAUUGAUUUAUUCAGAAAAAGCUUUGGUAGCUCAUUCUCAGAACAGCAGCAGAUUUCUUCUUGGACAGAAGAUUUACAGUACAGAGGAAAAACAAUAAAGGGGAAAAUGGGACGGGUACAUUUCAAGCUUAUUAUUUAAGUUCUUAGGCUUAGCAACACACCUAUUAACGUUCGUUUGAAACGGUUAUCAACAUUAACAGACUGAACUGGACUUAAUAACAGGAGUGCAUAUAAUUUUAGUAAAUUAUUCUGGUGAGUAUCAGCUGCGCUGGGUAUGUAAAUCGGGCCAUCCAGCCGCGUACAGAGGAAAAACAAUAAAGGGGAAAAUGGGACGGGUACAUUUCAAGCUUAUUAUUUAAGUUCUUAGGCUUAGCAACACACCUAUUAACGUUCGUUUGAAACGGUUAUCAACAUUAACAGACUGAACUGGACUUAAUAACAGGAGUGCAUAUAAUUUUAGUAAAUUAUUCUGGUGAGUAUCAGCUGCGCUGGGUAUGUAAAUCGGGCCAUCCAGCCGCGGUGCUCAUCGUACGCCACUCGUGCCAGAAAUCCGGACAAAUGUCACUUGAUCAAGGAGCAGAUCUGCAUCAGAUGAGAUCAGCUGACUUUGCGUGUGCGUGCGCUGUGCACAGCGGUGUGUACUCUGUGUGUUAACAAGAAAAACGCAUAUAAGAAAGUGGUGCGCAAAAGCAGGGUAGUGACAGAAUUGAUGCGCAUUAUUGAUAUUUGAAGCAUGUGUACCUGCACAUGCAUGCAUAUUAACACGCGGGUACUGUGGAAUGUAGUUUUUACUCACCUAAAGUGCUCGUGCUCUCGUCCACUCCCCGCAAAAAAAAAAAAAAAUUAGCAGCUGUGCGGUGUCUGUGGCAUCGGUGCUCUCAUCGCAUGCGAUGGACUAAAAAUCAAAAGCACAGCUUUAUCAGACAGUUGCAGUUUAAUGUUGGCUGACAGUCUUCAGUGCGUGGCACAACUGUAUUUCUGGACAUGCUGACGUUGUUGAAGUCCUGCACUUUUUCCGGGCACAUUAUUUCGGUGACUUUAACGAGGCAGCGUUUUAUGAGGUCUCCAUCUGAAAAAGGCUUACCAUGUCUUGCGAUGAGUUGGGCGACCUCAUAACUGGCUAUUGGAGCCUUUUAGCUACCCUUUGCUUUAAUUUCUGCUCUCGAUCAGCACCAGUGUAGGAUGCAUAGGCCUGAUGUUUGGUUUCAUAAUGACGUCGUACAUUAUACUCUUUCAUAACUGCCACAGUUUCAGUGCAGAUCAAACAGACACACUUCCCCUUUAAUUCUUUGAAAAAAUAUUCACUCUCCCACCGUGUCUGAAAUUUUCUGCACUCACUUUGUAGCAGCCCUUGGCAUCAAGAAUGACAGAAGAGUCUCUAACGGGUGCAGCCAUUUAUUUCCUCACCACACACGCCUCAUUCUCUGGACAUUGAGCACCGUGAAAACUAUAAAACAAGAAAAAAUUGAUACCCGUACAGUCCUUUUGAAGUAUAACAAUGAGCAAUAACAACAAUGAGCUCAAGUUAAUUCAGGUAAGUUCAAACAAGUAAUUCUGAGAUAUACAGUCACAGAUUAAAUAAAACAAAAAGGGGUUACUUCAAACAGCAUCAAGGGGUUACACAGUUCGGUUAAAUAAAAUAUAACAACAGAUCACCUCUCAUCACAUACCUCAGUCCGCUUGCCAAGGGUGCAAACUCCGGUGAACACUUAAACACUUCGGCCCGUUUCUCAUGGGAUGCUGCUAGCUUGCAUGACACACAUGUCUAAGAUGGACUUUGUACAACUUAUUCCUGCCGCACGACAGACCUCUCAUACACGUUACGGGGCAUGCCUCUGAGCACAUCUGUCCUUAGUGCGACUGCGCAUACAGUUCCGACAACCCCCGCAAGGAUGACUUAUGGUACAGAUCAGCGGUUCAUUACACACUUUCUACUAGUGAUGGCCCGCUUGAAGCUGACGCUCCGGAGCGUGUGUCGAAAAAAACAACACACUGGUUCAGAAGCACUGUGUCGAGGCUUGCUUCGUUUGGC